rnacentral:rRNA from 1 species
AUUGAACGCUGGCGGCAGGCCUAACACAUGCAAGUCGAGCGGAGCGGCGGACGGGUGAGUAAUGCCUAGGAAUCUGCCUGGCCGUGGGGGCUAACGUCCGGAAACGGGCGCUAAUACCGCAUACUAUCAGAUGAGCCUAGGUCGGACUGUCUAGUUGGUGGGGUAAAGGCCUACCAAGGCGACGAUCCGUAACUGGUCUGCGAGGAGGAUCAGUCACACUGGAACUGAGACACGGGCCAGACUCCAACGGGAUACAGCAGUGGGGAAUAGUGGACAAUGGGCGAAAGCCGAAUCCAGCCAGGACGCAUGUGGGAAGAAGGUCGUCGGAUUGUAAGGCACUUUAAGUUGGGAGGCGUUACCAGCAGAAUAAGCACCGGCUAACUUCGUGCCAGCAGCCGCGGUAAUUC